rnacentral:rRNA from 1 species
UGCCAUAUCAAUAAGCGGAGGAAAAGAAACCAACCGGGAUUGCCUUAGUAACGGCGAGUGAAGCGGCAAAAGCUCAAAUUUGAAAUCUGGUACCUUUGGUGCCCGAGUUGUAAUUUGGAGAGGGCAACUUUGGGACCGUUCCUUGUCUAUGUUCCUUGGAACAGGACGUCAUAGAGGGUGAGAAUCCCCGUGUGGCGAGGAGUGCG